rnacentral:rRNA from 1 species
UACGGAGGAUCCAAGCGUUAUCCGGAAUCAUUGGGUUUAAAGGGUCCGUAGGCGGUUUUAUAAGUCAGUGGUGAAAUCCGGUAGCUCACUCAUCGAACUGCCAUUGAUACUGUAGGACUUGAAUUAUUGUGAAGUAACUAGAAUAUGUAGUGUAGCGGUGAAAUGCUUAGAUAUUACAUGGAAUACCAAUUGCGAAGGCAGGUUACUAACAAUCGAUUGACGCUGAUGGACGAAAGCGUGGGGAGCGAACAGG